GCUAUAGGCUGUGAGCUGCUCUUAAAGGCACAGGCGCACCUUAUUUUAUCCCAGUUCAGUGCUAUAGGCUGUGAGCUGCUCUUAAAGGCACAGGCACACCUUAUUUUAUCCCAGUUCAGUGCUAUAGCCUGUGAGCUGCUCUUAAAGGCACAGGCGCACCUUAUUUUAUCCCAGUUCAGUGCUAUAGGCUGUGAGCUGCUCUUAAAGGCACAGGCGCACCUUAUUUUCUCCCAGUUCAGUGCUAUAGGCUGUGAGCUGCUCUUAAAGGCACAGGCGCACCUUAUUUUCUCCCAGUUCAGUGCUAUAGGCUGUGAGCUGCUCUUAAAGGUACAGGCACGCUGCAUUUUAUCUCUUCAGCGCUACAGACCACAGACUACACGACCACUUGGCCUGCUUCUCUCAUGGCUGUGGGGGCUUGGGCAGCCAGCUUGGGGAGGGGCGGUGUCAGCUUCACCAUGCCACUCUAAAGCAGGCAGGAGAAAAGCUUCCUUUAAAUCCUGCCUGAGCUGUCGCUUCCCUCCCAGCUGUGGAACCUUUCCUGUCUCGCACCUUUCUCUGCCUGGACCUCCGCGGGAGCCGGGCUCCUCCCUGCCCCAGCUCCUCCUGUGCCUGAUGAGCUAUUGUUUCACUGCGACAGAUGUUUCGGCGAACUGCGACGGGAAUGCGUUGUCAGCGUCAGUGGCAGCCUCGCUGCCGGAGCGAUGCGAAUCGCUUCCAUGCGUGGCACGAUUCCGGGCCUUUUCACCCUAGAGAACGGCACACUGCCCCCUAUUGGCCGAAGCCUGUGGGGUGCGGGAAGGGAAAUGGGGCGUUUAGGAGUCGGCUCUGCUGAGUGCAUGUGUGUGGUUAAGCUGCCAGAUGUGCUGCUAAGCAGAGUUCCAGAUGUGUCAGAGGUCUUGACCCUUGGGGUAAGGAAGCGAAGCUGUUGGGCUCGGUGGCCCAUGUCAUGUGACUGCAGGUGAUGUCACACAGAGAAGCUGAAGUGCUCUGGGUAAUCUGGCUAAUCUGGUUCCCUUUUGUCUCUCUCAUGCUCACACACACACACACACACACACACACACACACACACACACACACACACAGCUCUGUUUCUUAUUUGAAGUGACAUCUGUUUAAUAACUAGGACAUAUCAGUUCCAGAAGCUUCUGCUUCUUUCUCCAUGUCCUCAAACUGUCCUGGCCCAGAAAGGAGACAUGAAGCGGCCAGCUGGGGUGAGGGGGGGGGCUUGCAGUGCCCCCUCCCACCCUAGGAGAGUGAGUCGGUCCCUCGCAGCUUAUCAUCCUUGUGGCCUGUGCAGGUCCCUACAGAGGUGGUGGGGGGGGCCAUCCUGCUUCUGCCCGCGAACCCAGCCUCCCCCUGGGAAUCCCGGGCUCCCCUUGACAUCACACAUGGCUUCAGACCCUCCACCCCCAUUUCCCCACAGCGAGGGGGGGUUGCUUGCAGUGACAAGUUUCCCAGAAUUAGGAUUGCGAGCAGAGAGCCCCGGAACGCCUGUCAGCGAUUAACUUGGUGGUAUCGUUUACGUUGCUCUGCUGCCCUGCUCACCCCCCAUCCCCCAGGACGGCCCUUGUUUUAUGGUAGACUGGUGAAGUUCACAGAACCUCCAUGGGGAGACCGCCCCCCCCCAGUCCUGCUUGCAGCACAGCUGCUCUUCCCCACCUCCUGUGUCAGGCCCCUUCAGCCUCUCUCGUGCCCUGGUUGCCUUUUCUGCUCUGUGCCCCUGGGCCUUGUGUAUGACCGCAGCUUGACCGUGCGUUCCAGGCGGGUGGCACAGUAACUCUGUGUCCGGACAGAACUGUGCCCCGUGUGGAUUUUAUGGGUUGGUAUUUCAAUUCUGACUGAAGAAGAACUCGCCCUCCGUAACAGAUGGGAAGCCGUCGUACCUGCUGUUAUCUCUAGAUAACGCUUCUCGUCUGAUCUCUCACUCACUCAUUCUCUCUCACACUCCUGCAUCCAUCUUUUCUUUGUCCUGCUGUGACGGGGAAUUCUGGUGGGGAUUGAAGCGUCCACCUGUUCUGGGUCAAAAUUUGCCACUGCAACUGUUACGCAGUGAUUAAUGCGGGAGUCCCGGGGGUGAGGGGCGUGACUGCGUGUGUCAAAAUGCAGCUUUCACCAUGGUGUCUGUCCGUAGUCGUGCAAGGCUUCCUGAUUCUACAUGGAUUCCUCUGAGUUUAGGAAGACUUGGACUUAACGACCUUUAAUUUUAACUUGGUUGCUUCAAACUGACUGCUGAUUUGUCGGUUUACUGUGCCAAGAGGCUCCCCCCCCUCCCAGCUGCAGUUGCCAGGGCGACAGCCAGAGCAGCAUGUGUGGGUUACCCAUCAGAGGAUCCAGAGGAGUCUGGGAAUGUUAAGAACUUUGGCUGCGGAUCUUCUUCUUCCUGGAGCGACCCUCUGAGGGACCUCGGCGAGAUUUAUUUAUGGGUCGACGGAAAGAGCCCCGCGUGCUGACAGCAGGCCCCCCCCGAGUCCCAGAGCGCGGGCUGGAAGAGUGAGGCUCGCUCGCUCAUGAUCGUGACGCUCUAUUUGCCAUUUCACCACGCGUCCUUCGUCUGUCUCCUCUUCCUGUGUGUUCAGCGUAGAUUAAGUAGCUUUAUUGCCAGUUGUUGCCUGGCUGAAGCAGAAAGGUUAGAAAUAAAAAACUAAUAUAGCAGAUAGCCCCUCUUUACCUAGCUUUAGUUGCCCAAGAGAGUUACACAGAAAUGUUCUCGGGGCAGAGCGAAAAAUGAUUGGUUCAGAGAGAACCAAUCAGAUUGUAGAGGAGGCGGGCCCAACCUCAACUUGCUUGGACUUUAAGUCUUUAAUUUUAGCUCAGUUUUUACAAACUGACUGCCGAUAUAUUUGCUUACUAUGCCAAGAACCCCCCCAGCUACACUUCUACAGUCUGAUUAGUUAUCUCUCUGAAUCAAUCAUUUUUCAUUCUAUCCUCAGAACAUUUUUCUGUAAGUAAAACACCCACAAGCAUUUUAGUCUGCGCGCCCCCCUGUGAAAUCCCUGUCUGUCUUCUCCACCCCCAGCCCCAACUCCCUCCCCAAUUCAUGCUACGCCUCCCAUGCCCGCUGAGUAUUUUGACAGUGGUGGGUCCGCCUGAAACACAGUUCUGGUGUCUGGGCUGCCAGUCUGCGACUUCUGGGGACUCACUAUGUUCUGAUAUGUGCCAGGUGUUGUAAACACAUUUUGGAUGUAGCUGUUGUUCCACCCAAACGCGCUUUGCUCCUGCUUCCUGCUCCAGGUUGUCAGUCUCCCUGAUGAUUCCCGAUCGGGGCUUUAAGCCCUAGAAGCUGGGGGAGGGGCUGGACCUCCUUGAAUCAGGUGAAACAGUCUCAUUUGACUUGUGGAGUUUCAAGUAUCCUGUUAGGUGUGGAUCCGGCUUCACGAGAAUCCUGCUACCUAACCUCAUCUCGGGGGGGUUGUGCUUCAACCCCCCCCCCACUCUGGGGCAGGUGUUCAGCAGCAGGGAAGCGAGGUUCUGUACCUUCACAUUGCAGGGCUGAUGCCUGAGUGUCUGACACUGAGCCUUGAUAAUGUAUUGAUUUGCAGUUGGAGUGUGUGUGCGUGCGUGCGUGUGUGCGUGCGUGCGUGCGUGUGUGCGUGCGUGCGUGCGUGUGUGCGUGCGCGUGCGUGUGUGUGUGUGUGUGAUUGAGCCAGGCCUUGCAGCGCCCCACAUGCACCUGGAUGACUUUAAGUGUCCCUACCCUCUCUUUAAAGCUGAAUACUCCUCUCCAUUGAGCUGUAUGUGAUAUUCGGGUACCACUUUCUGCAGUGUUGAGGACAUGGGUGGGGCCACAGGGGCACAGGUCCCAGCUGAAAGCUGAUUGGCCCCCAUAGCGCCCAUCCCCUGUCACUCAUCGAUUCAAAACACAUCAUUGGCUAAAGAUAAGGUUGGUCCCUCUGUAUGGCCCCUCUUAAACCACAUAGAAUGGCCAUGGGGUGAGGAAUUCGCCAGGCACACGGCUUCCCGAAAGCAGGCUGCGAUCGCGUAUGCGGGGGGGCGUGCGUGCGUGUGGCGCAGGCACGUGCGCAUGGGCUUAGACGCACUCAGGCGGCGAUGGUGCGUGAAAGAACAAUUUAGAAGCCAGAGGUGGCCAGUUAUUGAAAAGCCCGCAGUUCUGGGGGGGAUAAUGUAAGAAAUGGGAGUUGAGUGUGACUCGCUUGAUAGCGAGUAAUUAGUGCUAUUAUUUUAAUUUGCAGACUGUAGCCGUGUGUUUACAUUAGGACCACCUUGUAACCUUUCCGGGGGAAAACCCUUCUGGGCAUGUCGCCUCCGGUGGAGGGGGGGUUAGUCGCUGUGACGAGACACUGAGCUCCAGAGCUUAACUGUGACGGCGAGCCCCCCCACCCUGGGAAGCAGCGAUCAUACUGGCAAGUGCUCAGGUUUCGUCUGAUUGGUCGGCGGUGAGAUACAACAGCUGAACCUGGGCCAGGAAAUAGCUGUGGCCGCUGUCUACCCGCAGCGUGGCUGUAAGGCUUGGAUGCAGGCUGACCUAUUUCUGUGUCCGACCCCCACCCCCCCCCCC